rnacentral:rRNA from 1 species
GACGGAGGAUGCAAGUGUUAUCCGGAAUCACUGGGCGUAAAGCGUCUGUAGGUGGUCAAAUAAGUCAACUGUUAAAUCUUGAGGCUCAACCUCAAAACCGCAGUCGAAACUAUUAGACUAGAGUAUAGUAGGGGUAAAGGGAAUUUCCAGUGGAGCGGUGAAAUGCGUAGAGAUUGGAAAGAACACCGAUGGCGAAGGCACUUUACUGGGCUAUUACUAACACUCAGAGACGGAAGCUAGGGUAGCAAAUGGG